UUUACUUGUUUUGGGGGGGGGGAGUUGUUUGUUUGUUUUGUGUGUUUGUGGUGGUUUGAAAGAAAAUGGCUCUCAAAGGUAGUGGCACUUUUAGGAGAUGUGGCCUUGUUGGAGUAGGUGUGCCUUUCUUGGAGGAAGUGUGUAACUAUGGGGGCGGGCUUUGAGGUCUUUUCUCAAGCUUCACUCGGUGUGACAGUCAACUUCCUGUUGCCUCUGAGUCAAGAUGUAGGACUCUCAUCUCCAGCACCACAUCUGCCUGCAUGUUGCCAGGCUCCCCACCGUGAUAAUGGACUGAACCUCAGAAACUUGUACAAUUGAAGAAACUGGGGCUCAGAGAAUAAGCCACUUACUGGGGACUCCCAGCCACCAAUCAGAACUGUGGUUUGACCCUCCCACCCUGUCUACCUUCAAAGCUACACUGUCCAGAACAGUAGCCACAUCGACAUUCUAAGCAUCUGAAAGGUGAUGGACUGCCACGAAGAUUUCCUGAUCUUAUUUCAAAUCUCUAUUCUCACUCAAAUUCCUGCCUUGGUACCGGCCUCUGGAACAAUACACUCUAGCACCGUCAUGGGCAACAAGUAAGGAGCGGAGGAAGCACUCUAAAGGGGACUGAGGAGGCUCGGCUAUAGCUGCAAUCAAGCUCAUGGACUGCAACCAAGCUUGGAAAAACACAUUUUGAAUUCCACUAUUGUGAUAAUUAGCAAAGUAUGAAUACAGAUCUCAGAGAAGACAACACCAUUUUAUCAGUCUUACAGUUCCAGAAUUCUACAAUUACAUUGUGUCAACAUAAGAUCAUGUCCUCAGUCUUAGGAGCCAAGUGCUGAAGUAGUGGAGGUGAAGGGUCAGUUCAUUAUAAAUCAUUUAAUAAAAACCAGAAGAAGAUGAAGAUUUACUUUUGUUUUUAUUUUAUAUGAAUGAGCGUUUCGCCCAUAUGUAUGUAUGUGUAUCACUUGCACACAGAGUACACACAAAUGCCAGAAGAGGGCAUUAGAUUCCUUGAACCUGGAGUUACUGACAGUUGUGAGCUACCAUGUUGGUGCUGGAAAUUGAAACUUGGUCUUCUGGAAGAGCAGUCAGUGCUGUUAACCAACGCAUGUAGCAAAAUCACAAUAUCAGAAGACUUGGAACAUGCACAAAAGACACCACUUUUCAAUUUUUC